rnacentral:rRNA from 1 species
UACCAGCACCCCGAGUGGUCGGGACGAUUAUUGGGCCUAAAGCAUCCGUAGCCGGUUCUGCAAGUCUUCCGUUAAAUCCACCUGCUCAACAGAUGGGCUGCGGAGGAUACUACAGGGCUAGGAGGCGGGAGAGGCAAGCGGUACUCAGUGGGUAGGGGUAAAAUCCUCUGAUCCACUGAAGACCACCAGUGGCGAAGGCGGCUUGCCAGAACGCGCUCGACGGUGAGGGAUGAAAGCUGGGGGAGCAAACCGGAUUAGAUACCCGGGUAGUCCCAGCUGUAAACGAUGCAGACUCGGUGAUGGGUUGGCUUUGUGCCAACCCAGUGCCGCAGGGAAGCCGUUAAGUCUGCCGCCUGGGGAGUACGGUCGCAAGACUGAAACUUAAAGGAAUUGACGG